rnacentral:rRNA from 1 species
UGGGGAAUAUUGGACAAUGGGCGCAAGCCUGAUCCAGCCAUGCCGCGUGAGUGAUGAAGGCCCUAGGGUUGUAAAGCUCUUUCACCGGGGAAGAUAAUGACGGUAACCGGAGAAGAAGCCCCGGCUAACUUCGUGCCAGCAGCCGCGGUAAUACGAAGGGGGCUAGCGUUGUUCGGAUUUACUGGGCGUAAAGCGCACGUAGGCGGACUUUUAAGUCAGGGGUGAAAUCCCGGGGCUCAACCCCGGAACUGCCUUUGAUACUGGAAGUCUUGAGUAUGGUAGAGGUGGGUGGAAUUCCGAGUGUAGAGGUGAAAUUCGUAGAUAUUCGGAGGAACACCAGUGGCGAAGGCGGCUCACUGGGCCAUUACUGACGCUGAGGUGCGAAAGCGUGGGGAGCAAACAGG